AUGGUGGUAGCUCAAUUGGAAGAGCAUUUGUCUUGCAAUCGGAAAGAUGUGGGAUCGAUUUUUGCUUUCUCCCUUGUCACA